UCAGAGGAAGAGGGCGGGCUUUACUUGGUUUCAGUGACAGAAAUGAAAAAAAGCUCAAAUGAGUGAGAAGGACGAUGAAGGAAACAUCUGUGCUGUGUCUGCUCUUUCUGAUCUCACUGCUGAGCUGCACAACAAACCAAGGUCAGUAACCUUCUUCUGUCACAGUUUAACCCUGAUUAAUGCUCACUGAUAUGACCUGAUUGGGUUCAAGUAGUGAUAAUGUCAUAUGUCAGCACUCGAGAUGUGAUGCAGAGGAAAGUCUAACUGAAGGCUUUUUAUCAGCACUUUAUUGAGCUGAUGGAAAACAAAUUUUGACAAAAGCAUAUCAUAAUUUUAACGCUUACAGCUCAUCUGACUGUGAGUCCCAGCAGCUCUCAGUUCUUUGAAGGAGACUUUGUGUCUCUGAGCUGUGAGGAGGACGACAGCUCUGCUGGAUGGACUCUGAGGAGAAAACCAAGCAAAGGAAAUACCACUCAGUGUGGAGAUGGGUGGGGAACAUCAUUUAACUCUUCCUGUGACAUUAGUUACAUUGUUGAACGAGACAGUGGAUUUUACUGGUGUGAGUCCAGAGAGGGUCCCAUCAGUAACAUGGUUAACCUGACAGUCACUGGUGGAUCAGUGAUCCUGCAGAGUCCUGUCCUCCCUGUGAUGGAGGGAG